rnacentral:rRNA from 1 species
GUGUCAGCAGCCGCGGUAAGACGAGGUGGACAAACGUUAUUCGGAUUUACUGGGCUUAAAGCGUGCGUAGGCGGCUCAGAAAGUUGGGUGUGAAAGCCCUCGGCUCAACCGAGGAAUUGCGCUCAAAACUACUGAGCUUGAGGGAGAUAGGGGAGAGCGGAACUGAUGGUGGAGCGGUGAAAUGCGUUGAUAUCAUCAGGAACACCGGUGGCGAAGGCGGCUCUCUGGAUCUCUUCUGACGCUGAGGCACGAAAGCUAGGGGAGCAAACGGGAUUAGAUACCCGAGUAGUCC